rnacentral:rRNA from 1 species
UACGGGGGGGGGCAAGCGUUGUUCGGAAUUACUGGGCGUAAAGGGCUCGUAGGCGGCCAACUAAGUCCGACGUGAAAUCCCCAGGCUUAACCUGGGAACUGCGUCGGAUACUGGUUGGCUUGAAUCCGGGAGAGGGAUGCGGAAUUCCAGGUGUAGCGGUGAAAUGCGCAGAUAUCGGGAGGAACACCUGCGGCGAAGGCGGGUUGCUGGGCUGACACUGACGCUGAAGCGCGAAAGCUAGGGGAGCGAACGGG